UGUGCUCAUCUGACCCAGCUGCCUGCCGCCAGGGGCACCUGGCCGAGGGUGGUGGAAGCGCUUCCUAACCCAAAGUGACAUGUGCCUGGUGGCGUUCAGGCUCUACAAA
ensembl:misc_RNA